UGUCAGCUGUAAUCAGUAUUAUCAUCCUACUUUAUAGGUCAAGAAACCAACUUGGAAAAACUAGGAAAUGUCCCCAGUGUCACACAGCUAAUAAACCAGUGGUAGAGUUGGAUUUGAAGCCUGGUGGAUUUACUCCUGAGCCCACCCACCACUGCUUCCUCCGGAAAUGAUGUUCAUAGGAAGGAGUUAAUUGAGGAUAACACAGAAAUGAAACAUGAGACUAGAAGAAUGAGUUGUUGGAUA